rnacentral:sRNA from 1 species
GCCACUUGGCGAAAAUAGCCCGACACGGCGCGGCUUAGUAGCGAAAGCGAAAAGCGGCGAGGGCGAAGAAA